rnacentral:rRNA from 1 species
AGUCGAACGAUGAUGCCCAGCUUGCUGGGCGGAUUAGUGGCGAACGGGUGAGUAAUACGUGAGUAACCUGCCCUUGACUCUGGGAUAAGCCUGGGAAACUGGGUCUAAUACUGGAUACUACCGUCCACCGCAUGGUGGGUGGUGGAAAGGGUUUUACUGGUUUUGGAUGGGCUCACGGCCUAUCAGCUUGUUGGUGGGGUAAUGGCUCACCAAGGCGACGACGGGUAGCCGGCCUGAGAGGGUGACCGGCCACACUGGGACUGAGACACGGCCCAGACUCCUACGGGAGGCAGCAGUGGGGAAUAUUGCACAAUGGGCGGAAGCCUGAUGCAGCGACGCCGCGUGAGGGAUGACGGCCUUCGGGUUGUAAACCUCUUUCAGUAGGGAAGAAGCGAGAGUGACGGUACCUGCAGAAGAAGCGCCGGCUAACUACGUGCCAGCAGCCGCGGUAAUACGUAGGGCGCAAGCGUUGUCCGGAAUUAUUGGGCGUAAAGAGCUCGUAGGCGGUUUGUCGCGUCUGCUGUGAAAGCCCGGGGCUCAACCCCGGGUCUGCAGUGGGUACGGGCAGACUAGAGUGCAGUAGGGGAGACUGGAAUUCCUGGUGUAGCGGUGAAAUGCGCAGAUAUCAGGAGGAACACCGAUGGCGAAGGCAGGUCUCUGGGCUGUUACUGACGCUGAGGAGCGAAAGCAUGGGGAGCGAACAGGAUUAGAUACCCUGGUAGUCCAUGCCGUAAACGUUGGGCACUAGGUGUGGGGGACAUUCCACGUUUUCCGCGCCGUAGCUAACGCAUUAAGUGCCCCGCCUGGGGAGUACGGCCGCAAGGCUAAAACUCAAAGGAAUUGACGGGGGCCCGCACAAGCGGCGGAGCAUGCGGAUUAAUUCGAUGCAACGCGAAGAACCUUACCAAGGCUUGACAUUCACCGGACCGCCCCAGAGAUGGGGUUUCCCUUCGGGGCUGGUGGACAGGUGGUGCAUGGUUGUCGUCAGCUCGUGUCGUGAGAUGUUGGGUUAAGUCCCGCAACGAGCGCAACCCUCGUUCUAUGUUGCCAGCACGUGAUGGUGGGGACUCAUAGGAGACUGCCGGGGUCAACUCGGAGGAAGGUGGGGAUGACGUCAAAUCAUCAUGCCCCUUAUGUCUUGGGCUUCACGCAUGCUACAAUGGCCGGUACAAAGGGUUGCGAUACUGUGAGGUGGAGCUAAUCCCAAAAAGCCGGUCUCAGUUCGGAUUGAGGUCUGCAACUCGACCUCAUGAAGUCGGAGUCGCUAGUAAUCGCAGAUCAGCAACGCUGCGGUGAAUACGUUCCCGGGCCUUGUACACACCGCCCGUCAAGUCACGAAAGUUGGUAACACCCGAAGCCGGUGGCCUAACCCCUUGUGGGAGGGAGCCGUCGAA